AACGAACGCUGGCGGCAUGCCUAACACAUGCCAGUCGAACGAGACCUUCGGGUCUAGUGGCGCACGGGUGCGUAACGCGUGGGAAUCUGCCCUUGGGUUCGGAAUAACAGUUGGAAACGACUGCUAAUACCGGAUGAUGACGUAAGUCCAAAGAUUUAUCGCCCAGGGAUGAGCCCGCGUAGGAUUAGCUAGUUGGUGGGGUAAAGGCCUACCAAGGCGACGAUCCUUAGCUGGUCUGAGAGGAUGAUCAGCCACACUGGGACUGGGACACGGCCCAGACUCCUACGGGAGGCAGCAGUGGGGAAUAUUGGACAAUGGGCGAAAGCCUGAUCCAGCAAUGCCGCGUGAGUGAUGAAGGCCUUAGGGUUGUAAAGCUCUUUUACCCGGGAUGAUAAUGACAGUACCGGGAGAAUAAGCCCCGGCUAACUCCGUG
rnacentral:rRNA from 1 species